AUAUUCUGAAGAAUAAGUUAGGAUUUGACGAGGCUUUCAAUUACAAGGAAGAGCCCGACUUGGAUGCAGCUUUGAAAAGGUAUUUCCCAGAGGGCAUUGACAUAUACUUCGAGAACGUGGGGGGCAAAAUGCUUGAUGCAGUGCUUCUGAAUAUGAGAGUUCAUGGUCGCAUUGCUGCCAGUGGGAUCUCUCAAUACAAUCUUGAACGCCAUGAGGGAAUAACCAACUUGAUGCAGAUUGUUUAUAAGCGAAUUCUUAUGAAAGGAUUUCUGGUUUUCGAUUACAAUCACACAUAUUCUAAGUUCUUGGAACAUACGUUGCCUUAUGUCAGAGAAGGAAAGAUUGUUUACAUGGAAGAAGUAAAUGAAGGAAUUGAGAGUGGCCCUGGAGCCUUGGAAAGACUUUUUACAGGCCAAAGUACUGGAA
rnacentral:misc_RNA from 1 species